UUUGACAUCCAGCGAACUUGGCAGAGAUGCCUUGGUGCCUUCGGGAACGCUGAGACAGGUGCUGCAUGGCUGUCGUCAGCUCGUGUUGUGAAAUGUUGGGUUAAGUCCGCAACGAGCGCAACCCUUAUCCUUUGUUGCCAGCGAUUCGGUCGGGAACUCAAAGGAGACUGCCGGUGAUAAACCGGAGGAAGGUGGGGAUGACGUCAAGUCAUCAUGGCCCUUACGAGUAGGGCUACACACGUGCUACAAUGGCGCAUACAAAGAGAAGCGACCUCGCGAGAGCAAGCGGACCUCAUAAAGUGCGUCGUAGUCCGGAUCGGAGUCUGCAACUCGACCCCGUGAAGUCGGAAUCGCUAGUAAUCGUGGAUCAGAAUGCCACGGUGAAUACGUUCCCGGGCCUUGUACACACCGCCCGUCACACCAUGGGAGUGGGUUGCAAAAGAAGUAGGUAGCUUAACCUCCGGGAGGGCGCUUACCACUUUGUGAUUCAUGACUGGGGUGAAGUCGUAACAAGGUAAGCGUAGCGAG
rnacentral:rRNA from 1 species